rnacentral:rRNA from 1 species
GACGAACGCUGGCGGCGUGCUUAACACAUGCAAGUCGAACGGUAAGGCCCUUCGGGGUACACGAGUGGCGAACGGGUGAGUAACACGUGGGUGAUCUGCCCUGCACUUCGGGAUAAGCCUGGGAAACUGGGUCUAAUACCGGAUAGGACCACUGCCUGCAUGGGUGGUGGUGGAAAGCUUUUGCGGGGUGGGAUGGGCCCGCGGCCUAUCAGCUUGUUGGUGGGGUGAUGGCCUACCAAGGCGACGACGGGUAGCCGGCCUGAGAGGGUGACCGGCCACACUGGGACUGGGAUACGGCCCAGACUCCUACGGGAGGCAGCAGUGGGGAAGAUUGCACAAUGGGCGCAAGCCUGAUGCAGCGACGCCGCGUGAGGGAUGACGGCCUUCGGGUUGUAAACCUCUUUCAGCUCCGACGAAGCGCAAGUGACGGUAGGUGCAGAAGAAGGACCGGCCAACUACGUGCCAGCCGCCGCAGUAA